AACUUCUAUUCCUAUCAUUUCAUUUCACAAUACACAACGGUCCUCUUUGUGACCGUAGGAGGACUUAUUAAACUCAACAAAUUAACAUGAGCGCUUAGACAGAGCCACAAUGUUGGUGGUGGGCAAUCAACCAGCCACACUGAAGACAGAGAAGACAAGAGAGGUGUGGAUGUGUGGAGAGAAUGAGCAGUGAAGAGGAGAGAAGUAAAAGAAGAGGAGUAGAGAACAGCAGGAGAGCAUAAACCUGCUCUCCGCCUCCAGUACAAGGAGAUGAUGGAGGGCGAACAAGCAACACUUCAGGAAUUUUGUCUUUGUACUUUGAGCAUUAUUGUUUGGUAUGCAAGGUUUUAAUGUCUUGUCUAAUUUUCUCUGCUUUGCUCCUUAACAGCAGUAGUUGUCUGGAGCCUGGUGUUGUUGUGGCCAAGGAGCUUUCACUCAAUUUAGUGAAAGUAUUCAUUUUCUAAAUAUAUGUUUCCCAGGUAUUAAUGUGAAGCAAGAGUGAAAAUCACAGCAAAAAUGUUUAAAUGCCUAUUUCUCCUGAAUGGGAUUCUAAGUUUAGUAACUUUUAAAGCAGCAUUACUUCCUCAUGUUUCCUCCAACUGCAGGUUAUGAUAUGCCAUUUUGAAGCUCCGAGUUUCUACUUUUAUCCAAUGAAAAAACUCAAUUUCAAAUGUUCGAACAUAAGACCGUAAAGAGACGUUUUGUCACAUAUUUAAUUAAACUCAUGAAUGCCACUGAAAAUGUCUAAAUAAUCUUUUUUUUUUUAACAUGUUGUGCAGGCAAGAGGGGGCAAUAUUGUGAUUAAUGAAAGUUCAUAAACAAAUGGUUGAGUGACUGA